GGUAAGGUGGCUGAGUCAAGCGGUGGGUUGUAGCUCCAUAGACAUAGGUUAAAGUCCUUUCUUUAUCA
rnacentral:tRNA from 1 species